CUGAAACUGUCCAGAUAUGUUUUGGAAUAUGUGCGGGGCUCUGAGAGGUGCUGCUGUGAGCUGAGGAACAGUCCACUACUUCUCAAGAUUGUGAAAGAGCUACACUGUACUAAUUCUAUGAUAUUACUCCCAAGUAUGGUUGAUAUAGCUGAACUUCUAUAAAUGCUAUAGUCAUGAGGCAUGUCAGGAAAAAUCCCAGCCAGUGUUGGGCUAAAUGUGAUCCAUCUACCUUUGCAGCCCUCCUUCCAUUCCCUUACAACCACGCAUGUUUUGCAGUGCUGCAGCUGAAGAUAAUCAGUUCUAAGAUGACAGAGGAAAGCAACAACUUUCAAGCUAAAAAAAUGAAGUUAUCUCAUAUUCUGACUCCGGUUAAGAGAGUACUUUAGCUUCCAUUUCAAGGUGAAGAAAGGCUGUAUUAACCUGAAUAUUAUCUGUAAGAUAUGUAAUAAAGUG
rnacentral:lncRNA from 1 species